rnacentral:rRNA from 1 species
CACGGAGUUAGCCGAUGCUUAUUCAUACGGUACAUGCAGGGAGUCACACGUGACUCUUGUUAUUCCCGUAUAAAGGAAGUUUACAAUCCAUAAGACAGUCAUCCUUCACUCGACUUGGCUGGUUCAGGCUCUCGCCCAUUGACCAAUAUUCCUCACUGCUGCCUCCCGUAGGAGUCUGGUCCGUGUCUCAGUACCAGUGUGGGGGAUAAACCUCUCAGUUCCCCUACCCAUCGUUGCCUUGGUGAGCCGUUACCUCACCAACAAGCUAAUGGGACGUCAUGCCUAUCCUAUACCGUAAUUUCCUUUCCUCUACUUCUUGAUCGCCAAGCUGUGAGCAUACGCAGUUAUUACGUCCGUUCUUUCGACGGGUUAUCCUCUGUAUAGGGCUAAGUUGCAUACGCGUUACGCACCCGUGCCGCCGGUCGCCCACCAG